AGAAUUGCAAAAUUUUCAAAAAAAGAAAAUACAAGAGAAAAUACCGCAGCAACAACAAAUUAUUGAAAAGAUAGGAAAUUUCAAGAGCUAUCCGUUUCGGCGCCGAGUUCUCCCUCCUGCAAUUUUACCCUUACUGUUGUGUUAAACAAACAAGUCCAUCAACAAAGAAUUACCAACAAAAAAUAAACGAUAAAAUCAACAAAGUUUACUACUACCAAGCCAAGAAUUUGUUGGAAUUGAAGAUUACAAAAAUAAAAAACGUUUGGUUUCUUUUUUAAGUAAAUUAAAAAAAAGCUGACCAAAGCGACAACAAAAUCCCAAAGGGAAAAUUUAUCGAUUACGUAUUUUGAAGCAGAGCAGAGCACCAACAAAAACUGGCACAACUAUUAUAUGCGAUUAUCGGCAAAAGAGAAUAAGAUAUCCAAAACAAUUUCAAACUUUAGAAUUGUUGUAAUACCCUGAGAAGAGGAGAACGACUGCUGACAAUUUUGUAAUCAAGAGUAUAAGAAGAGAGCUGCGGCAAGAGAAAUCUCUUCUUCACAACAUUCAAGCAGCAAAGAAAAAUCAAAUAAUUACUGCAAGAGUGAUUAAUUGAGAGUAGGAGUGAGAAUUAUUUGAGGGGAGCACAUUUAGCCAAAUGUCAAAGAUAACACAAAACAUGUGAGCGAAUAGAACGGCAAAGAAAAGAAAUAACAAAAACAAACCGAGCAAAGAAAAUUGAUAGUAAAAUCGAAUCGAAAUAAAAAUAUUAAAGAAAAUUCAAGUUACGUAUUGUGUGUGAGUUUAGUGUGUGUGUAUGAGUGAGUGAGUGUCAGUGGCAAUAGGGAACAGCAGAAUUUAGCGACGCCAGCAGCAGAAUCACAUGAAGAACAAGCAAAUCGUCGCCGCCGCACACAACACAACCAGCCAG
rnacentral:sRNA from 1 species